AUUGGACAGUUUAGUUGAUAUUGAAUUUUCUUUUGUAACACAGAAAUUUAUAUAAAAUUAACUUGUUGAAACUCAACGCAUGUGUUUUUGUAUAUUCAUAGAAAAUAGUGCGGAGACAACUGUAUAAAGCAGGGUAGCGUCUAGUCGGUCACUUUAAGACAUUCUCUUUCUCAUAGUGCUUGCCACCCAGCUGUGAAGCAUGCCCGCGUACGCAGCUACUUUUUUUUUGUUUUUUGUUUUUGCUCUUCUGCCUACCCUUCUGAUAUAUUUUUAGACAAGUGCACACUAGACACACACUCACACAAACACACCCAAACACAUUGACACACCGUAAAUGAUGUCUGCAGAAAUAUGUACGUAUUUCUUUCUUGCUGUAGAUUUCGGCACCUUUUGGAUGGUUUGAGCUGCUAUAUAUAUGGAAGUAUAUAUCUCGAUAUGAAACCGCUUGGCUGCCAAUAACCGAUUUCAGACUGAAUGAUUUAUUGGCCUAUAAUGCGUUUCACAUUCGAACAGCCCUCUGCGCCUGCUCCGGACUCUGGUAGCACCCACUCUCUCCCUCUCUCCCUCUCUCUCUCUUCCUCUAUCUCUCCCCGUCUAUGUGGU